AGAGGAUUCCUGCAACGCGCCGAGGGGAAAAAUAACAAAUUUUAUUUUUUUAUACUUUCUACUCGCACGUACAAGAGAAACGGAGAAAUUCAAUAUCGGAUGGAACAUAGCGGAAUUAUUAUUUUUUUUUUUUUCUGUGUCUCAGGAAUCACGCACGAGAGAGUGCGCAUUACAUCAUCUCGGUGACGCAAUAUAAUCUCUUCAAUUCGCGUGCGUGUGUAUGUAUAAUUCUCCUUUAUUAUUAUUAUUAUAAUAAACGCUUUCUCUCGAAAAAGAAGAGCCUCUCUCUCUCUCUCUCUCUUGCUCUCUCUCUCUCUCUCUCUCACACACUACCGUCGUGUAGUCGAUCGCGUACUAAAUUUUUAUUAAUCUAUCGUACAUUUUUAUACAUAUUGAGCGCAUCGUCAGAGACGUGUGUGUGUGUGUACGCGCGCGCGCGCGCGCACGUAUAUGUAAGACAGAAAAAUUGUCACACAUAUUUAUGGAAAACGCGUCCCGAUGGAACUUCUUUUCACGCUACUCAUCAUCGCGCGAUGCAAACUUCUCUAUCUUAUACAAUUUUUAUGUAGUAAGUAAAAAAAAUCAAACGUUAACGAGAGAAGGAAUCCGAGCGAAAACGCGCUCCGGACUUUGUGGUUCGUGUGUCUCGAGAAAAAUAAACUAUCUGAUAUUCUUUACAGUUUCGCGCAAGAACGGAAGUACGUAUGCAGACAAGGUGUACACAACGCUACGUCGUUUUAUAAACGCAAUUGCACAUGAAGAAUGAGAGACGGAUCGGAGCGAAGGAUAUUUUACUCGGUGCUUCAAUCGUGUUGGAUCACCCAAUCUCUGUGAAAAUGUAUGAGAAACGCACACACACACCAGGGUGACGAGGGCGCGAAGAGGGAAAGAAAGUUGCGCGGAGAGAAGAAACGCUCGCGCGAAAGCAGAACCCGAAGAAUGUAAAGAAAGGAGCGCAUACAAUACGGGAAUCAAAACACGUGGAAGUCCCUGCACAAGCAAGAGAACACACUGUCGCUCACAUUUUUAUCUCUGAGUUUUGCAGGUAUUAGCACGCAAAUUUUUUCAUACCGCGAAGUAAGAAACUAUCUUAGCGGGAUUGUGUAGCAAUAUAAAAAAAAAAAAAAAAAAAAAAAAAAAAAAAAAAAAAAUCGCAAGCGAGAUCAAAUCGCGUCUGCUGUUACAGAGUAGAUAGGAAAAACUUUAGUUUCCUCUUUUAACAUCACAAGCAGAGAUAUGGUGAGGUAACAUGCACGCACAAGCGGGUAAAUGGCGAUGGCGUAAAGACAGUCGCUGUGUAAAAAAAAAAAAAAAAAAAAAAAAAAAAAAAAAAAAACAAACAAAAAAAGAGAGAAGGAUCUUGUCCUCUUCCCUUUCGUGCAAUCCAAGUGCAUCGCACAAGCCGGCAAAAAAAUAAAAGUGGAAAUAUAUUUUCGGAACUUUUCUUUGUUUUUUAAUAAUCAUAUAACAAUACUUGCUAUAUUCACGAUCAACAUACAUCAUUUUUACGUCUUAUCUAUAUGUUGCAAAUCUUAUACACAUAAAAAAGAUAUUCGCGUUCUUGUAAUUUCUAAAAUUAUAAAAAGGACAGUAGCAAAAACCUCGCGGAUGUGCUGUCAAACGUCAUUACACGUCAACGUUUCGUGUUAAUUUUUUUCUUUCUUUCUUUUUUUCUCCUUUUUUAACGCUUAAAACACGAUCAUCGGUUAAAAAAGGUAGUCCGAUAGCGAGAGAUUUGUGUAUACGUACAAUAAAACAUAACUAAAGUUUUUUCUACGUCACUCUGCGGCUCUUCCGGGGCGGUUAGCGGUCGAAGUGUCGUCGUCGAGCAAAGGGAAGGAACGUAUUGCAUUAUCGUAAUUAUAAUAAUUCUAAUUCAUUAAAUUAUAUAUCGUGUGUGUAUAUAUAUAUAAAUAUAUAUAAUCGUCGUAAAUCAUCGUAUUAUCACCAUCAUCGGCAUCACGUCACGUGUGUGCAAUUCUCUUAUCACGAACGACGAAAGUGGUUUAGUGCACUAUCGCGGAAGGACGAGAGUGCAACACGACAAGAGGAAGAAAGACGAAUAAAAUUUUACAAAAGAAACAAAAAAAAUAAAAAAAAAACAAACAAAAGAAGACAAAAGAAACAACCACCGUCUUCCCCCUCUUUCGCUUUCGGUAGUAUUAUUACUUCGUAAAAUGGGAGGGACUGGAGGGAGAAACGUUUCCAUUAUGCAUCUCAUAUUUAAUCUUUAAUUAGAUAAUUAAUUCACUAUUUACGAAAAGUCAUAAUAAAAAGUAGUACUCUAUAUAUAUAUAUAUUCAGUAUUUCAAUAUUAAUAAUAUUGUAAUAAUAAUAAUAAUAAUAAUAAUUAUCAUAUUCCAAUAGCUUUGUUUUGCAGUUAUCAUCUAACAUGGAUAAUUCAUUAAUUACCAUUGCGCGCGCGCGCGCGCGCGUACGUGUGUGUGUGGUGAGUGUAGGUGUGUGUGUAAAGUGUAUGACAGUAAUGGUGUGUAAAGUGUGUGACAGACCGCGGCCUAUAUUCCUUGUCUCUCCGCAACAUAGAGAGGUUCGAUAUAUUAUAUAUAUAUAUAUAUAUAUAUAUAUCUCGUGUGUGCAUAUUUAUAUAUACAUAUACACAUAUCAAAAGAUAUGUGUAUACAUAUCUAUCUGAAGAAAAAAAAAACAAAUAGAAUAGUGUACAAUAUAUGCAUUUAUGUACGUCUAGCGUUGCAUAUGUCAUUCAUCUUCUUUCUCUCGCUCGCGUUCGCACUCUUUCUCUCUCUCUCUCUUCCUUUCUUUUCGUUUACAAUAGUAAAUCUCGCUGCGAACGUCUCGCGCACCAACGUCGAUUUUUUUUUUUCUCUCCUCGUUCCUCCCUCGAUGUACAAGCAACUCUUCCGCACAGUUUGUUCGAUACCGACCGCGUUUCUCUAAUCGAUCCUCGCAAAAAAACACCACUUUCCUUUCUUGCUUGCCUUCCUCUUCCGCAAAGACAAGACGGGGAGAGGAGGGGGGCGGAAAUCAGGA